CUGGGAUGGGCCCAGAGUCGUGGGUGCGGAGGCGGGCAAAGCCUGCGGGAGCAGCUGCAGGCGCAGCGUGUGUGUAGGCGAGCCGGCUGAGCGUCAGGUCCUGGGAUCGCCGGCGCAGCAGCACUGAGGAUCUGGGUCUUGAGGGUGCGGGGCGGUGGGGGCGGCGUAGCACCUCAAGGAAGUCUAAGGGAGCCACGCUCAAUAAAGCUGUGAAAAAAGAAGUGAUGAAAACCUGAACUGAUAAGAGGAAGCCUUCACUUUGAGAUCUGUCUUGACCGAGGUGUGCCUGUGAACCCAGGGAGGGUCCUGAGACAAAUCAACCUGAGAGGGAACAAACGAGAUGAUUGGCCUGAGGGAAGACAAAGACUGGGAAAACUGCCACCUUAUAAAGGAUUUAAACUUAACCAAAGACAUGUUACUCUCUCUUUGAGUUCCCCUGUGUGCCUUUCCCUGUGUACUUUUCUUUUCAAUAAACUUUUUCUUUUUACAUUCUUCCUCACCCGAAUUCAUUCUUAACUAGUUAGAGAGGGACUGGUGACUCUAGACCUAACUGCUGUCCCCUGUGGUCCAGUGGUUAGGACUCCCUGUCCAGGAAACGAAGACUUUGUUUCCAGCUCCUGUUCGCUGCUACUUACUGCUCCUGUGUCCGAAAUCAUAUGCAGUUCAUUCUAUGUAAAUUAAAACAAAAAAAGUCAUGUAAAAUAAUUCUGUGUAGUAGGUUGCCAAUUUGAUAUAUUGUUAGGUAAAUUUUGGACUGUUUUCAGCUUUAGGGUUUGUUUUCACCCCUUUUCUAAAAAGUUUUUGAAUGUAUAUAAAGAUAGCAUAGAGGCCAGUGGAAUUGAAUAGAAGGGUCAGAAUGGUCCUUCAUUGCUUUGCAACAGAGACCAAUGGGGGAAGGGAUAGUCUUUUCAGCAAACAGUGGUAAAAUAAUGUCAUCCUUUUACAGAAAUUAAUCACAAGCAGUUCAUGAUUUUCAGAGGUUUGGGGUUUUUUUUCCCAACAGAUCUUAAGUGACACAGAGUCCUAGACUGCAGCCUGAUGUGAUUAUAAAAUCUAAACUCUAAUUAUACGCACUCUAUUUAUUCUCAUUCAUCAGUUGUUUACUGAAUGCCUGCUACUAUCAGGCCGUGUGCUGGAUGCCGGGAAAAACCAUGACAUCAUCUCUGUUGUGAAGCUGACACUUUUGUUGAAAAACCAGAUAAAAGCAUAGAAAUAAAAAGGCGGCGGUGGGGGGGGGGGGAGCUUAUAAUUGUGGCAUAUCCUGAAGUAAACAAACAAGGGACAGGAGUAGAAAAGUAAGGUGAGAGGGCAUCAAUGGAAAGCUUUCUCUAAGAAGAGGAUGUUUUGAGACCUGAAGACAUAAACAAGCCAAGGGGCAAGUGCAGGAAAAGAUUUUCUCAGGUGAAAAGCUUGGGAACAAACCAGUAAAGCUCUGAACUGAUGAGAAGAGGAAGAGGAGUGAUGAGAUCAGUGAGGAGGCAGGGCCGGUUCAGGCAACUCCCCAAGAGCACAUGGGAGCCACAGGAGGUUAUAAACUGGGGAGAAAUUAGAGGUCAUUACUUUGUGCCAUGCGGAUGACUGGUUGGAAGGGGCACAAAAAUGUAAGCACCUAUGUUAGACUUUCACUACUUUUCUGCCAUCAUUUUUUUCUUUUUAAAAUUAAUUCCUCAACAUUCAAAGACAGAUGACCUUAGUUUCUCUCUCUGUGUGUCCUCCCCAGAAGACAAACUGAAGUCUUGUCUAUUUUGGUGACUCAGUUUACAAAUAAACCACAGACUGAGGCCUUAGCUUGGGAGCAGGUUGGACAAGGAGCAUAUAAACCGUCUCUAAGUGACUAACCUGAAAGGAAUUUAGGUCAGCAAUUUGGGUGAAGCCAUAAGGUAAAGAACGCACCUGCCAAUGCAGGAGACAAAAGAGACGUGGGUUCAACCCCU